AGAAUCAACGCUGGCGGCGUGCCUAACACAUGCAAGUCGAACGCGAAAGUGGAGCAAUCCAUUAGUAGAGUGGCAAACGGGUGAGUAACACGUGGGCGACCUACCUCAGAGUGGGGGAUAACCUUCCGAAAGGAGGGCUAAUACCGCAUGACAUCCCGUGUUUGGAUACACGGAGAUCAAAGCCGGGGAUCGCAAGGCCUGGCGCUUGGAGAGGGGCCCGCGUCCGAUUAGCUAGUUGGUGAGGUAACGGCUCACCAAGGCUCCGAUCGGUAUCCGG
rnacentral:rRNA from 1 species